rnacentral:rRNA from 1 species
UUAAGUUAUUAAGGGCGCACGGUGGAUGCCUUGGCACUAGAAGCCGAUGAAGGACGUUACUAACGACGAUAUGCUUUGGGGAGCUGUAAGUAAGCUUUGAUCCAGAGAUUUCCGAAUGGGGAAACCCAGCAUGAGUUAUGUCAUGUUAUCGAUAUGUGAAUACAUAGCAUAUCAGAAGGCACACCCGGAGAACUGAAACAUCUUAGUACCCGGAGGAAGAGAAAGAAAAUUCGAUUCCCUUAGUAGCGGCGAGCGAAACGGGAAGAGCCCAAACCAACAAGCUUGCUUGUUGGGGUUGUAGGACACUCUAUACGGAGUUACAAAGGACGACAUUAGACGAAUCAUCUGGAAAGAUGAAUCAAAGAAGGUAAUAAUCCUGUAGUCGAAAAUGUUGUCUCUCUUGAGUGGAUCCUGAGUACGACGGAGCACGUGAAAUUCCGUCGGAAUCUGGGAGGACCAUCUCCUAAGGCUAAAUACUCUCUAGUGACCGAUAGUGAACCAGUACCGUGAGGGAAAGGUGAAAAGCACCCCGGAAGGGGAGUGAAAUAGAACCUGAAACCGUGUGCUUACAAGUAGUCAGAGCCCGUUAAUGGGUGAUGGCGUGCCUUUUGUAGAAUGAACCGGCGAGUUACGAUUUGAUGCAAGGUUAAGCAGUAAAUGUGGAGCCGUAGCGAAAGCGAGUCUGAAUAGGGCGUUUAGUAUUUGGUCGUAGACCCGAAACCAGGUGAUCUACCCUUGGUCAGGUUGAAGUUCAGGUAACACUGAAUGGAGGACCGAACCGACUUACGUUGAAAAGUGAGCGGAUGAACUGAGGGUAGCGGAGAAAUUCCAAUCGAACCUGGAGAUAGCUGGUUCUCUCCGAAAUAGCUUUAGGGCUAGCCUCAAGUGAUGAUUAUUGGAGGUAGAGCACUGUUUGGACGAGGGGCCCCUCUCGGGUUACCGAAUUCAGACAAACUCCGAAUGCCAAUUAAUUUAACUUGGGAGUCAGAACAUGGGUGAUAAGGUCCGUGUUCGAAAGGGAAACAGCCCAGACCACCAGCUAAGGUCCCAAAAUAUAUGUUAAGUGGAAAAGGAUGUGGCGUUGCCCAGACAACUAGGAUGUUGGCUUAGAAGCAGCCAUCAUUUAAAGAGUGCGUAAUAGCUCACUAGUCGAGUGACACUGCGCCGAAAAUGUACCGGGGCUAAACAUAUUACCGAAGCUGUGGAUUGUCCUUUGGACAAUGGUAGGAGAGCGUUCUAAGGGCGUUGAAGCAUGAUCGUAAGGACAUGUGGAGCGCUUAGAAGUGAGAAUGCCGGUGUGAGUAGCGAAAGACGGGUGAGAAUCCCGUCCACCGAUUGACUAAGGUUUCCAGAGGAAGGCUCGUCCGCUCUGGGUUAGUCGGGUCCUAAGCUGAGGCCGACAGGCGUAGGCGAUGAAUAACAGGUUGAUAUUCCUGUACCACCUAUAAUCGUUUUAAUCGAUGGGGGGACGCAGUAGGAUAGGCGAAGCGUGCGAUUGGAUUGCACGUCUAAGCAGUAAGGCUGAGUAUUAGGCAAAUCCGGUACUCGUUAAGGCUGAGCUGUGAUGGGGAGAAGACAUUGUGUCUUCGAGUCGUUGAUUUCACACUGCCGAGAAAAGCCUCUAGAUAGAAAAUAGGUGCCCGUACCGCAAACCGACACAGGUAGUCAAGAUGAGAAUUCUAAGGUGAGCGAGCGAACUCUCGUUAAGGAACUCGGCAAAAUGACCCCGUAACUUCGGGAGAAGGGGUGCUCUUUAGGGUUAACGCCCAGAAGAGCCGCAGUGAAUAGGCCCAAGCGACUGUUUAUCAAAAACACAGGUCUCUGCUAAACCGUAAGGUGAUGUAUAGGGGCUGACGCCUGCCCGGUGCUGGAAGGUUAAGAGGAGUGGUUAGCUUCUGCGAAGCUACGAAUCGAAGCCCCAGUAAACGGCGGCCGUAACUAUAACGGUCCUAAGGUAGCGAAAUUCCUUGUCGGGUAAGUUCCGACCCGCACGAAAGGCGUAACGAUUUGGGCACUGUCUCAACGAGAGACUCGGUGAAAUCAUAGUACCUGUGAAGAUGCAGGUUACCCGCGACAGGACGGAAAGACCCCGUGGAGCUUUACUGUAGCCUGAUAUUGAAAUUCGGCACAGCUUGUACAGGAUAGGUAGGAGCCUUUGAAACGUGAGCGCUAGCUUACGUGGAGGCGCUGGUGGGAUACUACCCUAGCUGUGUUGGCUUUCUAACCCGCACCACUUAUCGUGGUGGGAGACAGUGUCAGGCGGGCAGUUUGACUGGGGCGGUCGCCUCCUAAAAGGUAACGGAGGCGCUCAAAGGUUCCCUCAGAAUGGUUGGAAAUCAUUCAUAGAGUGUAAAGGCAUAAGGGAGCUUGACUGCGAGACCUACAAGUCGAGCAGGGUCGAAAGACGGACUUAGUGAUCCGGUGGUUCCGCAUGGAAGGGCCAUCGCUCAACGGAUAAAAGCUACCCCGGGGAUAACAGGCUUAUCUCCCCCAAGAGUUCACAUCGACGGGGAGGUUUGGCACCUCGAUGUCGGCUCAUCGCAUCCUGGGGCUGUAGUCGGUCCCAAGGGUUGGGCUGUUCGCCCAUUAAAGCGGUACGCGAGCUGGGUUCAGAACGUCGUGAGACAGUUCGGUCCCUAUCCGUCGUGGGCGUAGGAAAUUUGAGAGGAGCUGUCCUUAGUACGAGAGGACCGGGAUGGACAUACCUCUGGUGUACCAGUUGUCGUGCCAACGGCAUAGCUGGGUAGCUAUGUGUGGACGGGAUAAGUGCUGAAAGCAUCUAAGCAUGAAGCCCCCCUCAAGAUGAGAUUUCCCAACUUCGGUUAUAAGAUCCCUCAAAGAUGAUGAGGUUAAUAGGUUCGAGGUGGAAGCAUGGUGACAUGUGGAGCUGACGAAUACUAAUCGAUCGAAGACUUAAUCAA